rnacentral:rRNA from 1 species
AGGAGAGUUUGAUCCUGGCUCAGGAUGAACGCUAGCGGCAGGCUUAACACAUGCAAGUCGAGGGGCAGCAGGCGGUAGCAAUACCGUGCUGGCGACCGGCGCAAGGGUGCGUAACGCGUGAGCAAUCUGCCCGUAUCAGGGGGAUAAGCGAUGGAAACGUCGUCUAAUACCGCAUAACAACGAGGGAGGCAUCUCCCAUGUUUGAAAGAUUCGUCGGAUACGGAUGAGCUCGCGAGACAUUAGCUAGUCGGCGGGGUAACGGCCCACCGAGGCUACGAUGUCUAGGGGAACUGAGAGGUUGGUCCCCCACACUGGAACUGAGACACGGUCCAGACUCCUACGGGAGGCAGCAGUGAGGAAUAUUGGACAAUGGCCGGAAGGCUGAUCCAGCCAUGCCGCGUGAAGGAAGAAGGUCCUAUGGAUUGUAAACUUUUUUUGUAUGGGAGCAAUAAGGGUGUCGUGACGCCCGAUGAGAGUACCAUACGAAUAAGCAUCGGCUAACUCCGUGCCAGCAGCCGCGGUAAUACGGAGGAUGCGAGCGUUAUCCGGAUUUAUUGGGUUUAAAGGGUGCGUAGGCGGUUUGUCAAGUCAGCGGUGAAACGCACGGGCUCAACCCGUGACCUGCCGUUGAAACUGUCGGACUGGAAUGCGGAUGCUGUGGGAGGAAUGUGUGGUGUAGCGGUGAAAUGCAUAGAUAUCACACAGAACACCGAUUGCGAAGGCAUCUCACAAAUCCGUGAUUGACGCUGAGGCACGAAAGUGUGGGGAUCAAACAGGAUUAGAUACCCUGGUAGUCCCCU